rnacentral:rRNA from 1 species
GACGAACGCUGGCGGCGUGCUUAACACAUGCAAGUCGAACGGUGAAAGCGGAGCUUGCUCCGCUGGAUCAGUGGCGAACGGGUGAGUAACACGUGGGCAACCUGCCCCUCACUUCGGGAUAACUCCGGGAAACCGGGGCUAAUACCGGAUAUGACCUCCUUGGGCAUCCUUGGAGGUGGAAAGUUUUUCGGUGAGGGAUGGGCCCGGGGCCUAUCAGCUUGUUGGUGAGGUAGUGGCGCACCAAGGCGACGACGGGUAGCCGGCCUGAGAGGGCGACCGGCCACACUGGGACUGAGACACGGCCCAGACUCCUACGGGCGGCAGCAGGGGGGAAUAUUGCGCAAGGGGCGAAAGCCUGACGCAGCAACGCCGCGUGCGGGAUGACGGCCUUCGGGUUGUAAACCGCUUUCAGCAGGGAAGAAGCCGCAAGGUGACGGUACCUGCAGAAGAAGCACCGGCUAACUACGUGCCAGCAGCCGCGGUAA